rnacentral:rRNA from 1 species
UACGGAGGGUGCAAGCGUUACCCGGAUUCACUGGGGUUUAAAGGGUGCGUAGGCGGGCAGGUAAGUCCGUGGUGAAAUCUCUGAGCUUAACUCAGAAACUGCCAUGGAUACUAUUUGUCUUGAAUAUUGUGGAGGUAAGCGGAAUAUGUCAUGUAGCGGUGAAAUGCUUAGAUAUGACAUAGAAACACCAAUUGCGAAAGGCAGCUUA